rnacentral:rRNA from 1 species
AUGGGGACAACAUUCCGAAAGGAAUGCUAAUACCGAAUGAAGUGUGGGGGAGGGCAUCUUCCCUACAUGAAAGAUGGCCUCUAUAUAUAAGCUAUCACUGAUCGAUGGGUCUGCGUCUGAUUAGCUAGUAGGUAAGGUAACGGCUUACCUAGGCGACGAUCAGUAGCCGGUCUGAGAGGAUGAACGGCCACAUUGGGACUGAGACACGGCCCAG